rnacentral:rRNA from 1 species
AUUGAACGCUGGCGGCAUGCCUUACACAUGCAAGUCGAACGGCAGCACGGGAGCAAUCCUGAUGGCGAGUGGCGAACGGGUGAGUAAUAUAUCGGAACGUGCCCAGUCGUGGGGGAUAACGUAGCGAAAGCUACGCUAAUACCGCAUACGACCUAAGGAUGAAAGCGGGGGAUCGCAAGACCUCGCGGCAUUGGAGCGGCCGAUAUCAGAUUAGGUAGUUGGUGGGGUAAAGGCUCACCAAGCCGACGAUCUGUAGCUGGUCUGAGAGGACGACCAGCCACACUGGGACUGAGACACGGCCCAGACUCCUACGGGAGGCAGCAGUGGGGAAUUUUGGACAAUGGGCGCAAGCCUGAUCCAGCAAUGCCGCGUGCAGGAUGAAGGCCUUCGGGUUGUAAACUGCUUUUGUACGGAGCGAAAAGGCUCUCUCUAAUACAGGGGGCUCAUGACGGUACCGUAAGAAUAAGCACCGGCUAACUACGUGCCAGCCGCCGCGGUAA